CAAACUUGUCAUCAAAACUACAUCUCCAAAACAAAACCAACGGCAAUUUGUGGGCUCACACCUCCAUCCAAGUACGUUUUCUAAGAAGCAUGGAAACUUCCAGGAAGUAUCCAAACUCCCCUAAGGUUGAAACACUGUUGAACAUGCACCUCACACAUCUUAGUAUAGUCAUGCAUCAAACUUGUCAUCAAACUACAUCUCCAAAACAAAACCAACAGCAACUUGUGGGCUCACACCUCCAUCCAAGUACUUUUUCCUAAGAAGCAUGGAAACUUCCAGGAAGUAUCCAAACUCCCCUAAGGUUGAAACAUCAUAACUUAAACAUCUGAAGCACCCGAGAAGCAGAAAUCCAAUAAGGUAGUUUGCUGGUGCCAAAUGCUGACACUCAUCAGACACUUCCCAAUAUGUCAGAAGCUUGUUGAAAUAGUUCCUAUUACUUAUUCGUUCUAUUUCUUUAUGCCGGACACAGUGAGGACACUUGAGGGAACGUUUG